rnacentral:tmRNA from 1 species
GGGGCUGACCGGUUUUGACAGCAAGGAGGGGGAUUUGUAAGCAUGCAGGCUCACGCAUCAGCAGCCUUGAAAACCGAUGCAGAAAGAUAAUAGGCGAAAAUAACUACGCUCUUGCUGCCUAACCGAAGUACAGUAGGUUACUGGCUUAAUCCCCGCAACAGUUGUGGGGACAAGACAUCUCCCACCGACCCAGCCCGUCGGUCGGUGACCCGGAGGUGCUCGUGAGAACGGGAUAGUCGGCGGUUCGCUCCGCGCUGCCGAUGAACUUUUAGGAGCUACGGCCUGCCUUGGGUGCCCGUGUCCGGAGCAGUCCCGACAAUCAACCGCGGAAUAAGCAUGUAGAAAGCACAUCUGUCACUUGUUUGGACGAGGGUUCGACUCCCUCCAGCUCCACA